GCCUUCUUAGCUCAGUGGUAGAGCGUUGCACUUGUAUAGGAUGUCAAAGAAUACUUAGAAUAACUAACCAUCAGGUGUUUACAAUGCAAAGGCCAGUCGUUCAAUCCGACUAGAAGGCA